UACGUAGGGUGCAAGCGUUGUCCGGAAUCAUUGGGCGUAAAGAGCGUGUAGGCGGUCCGGUAAGUCGGCUGUGAAAGUCUAGGGCUCAACCCUGGGAUGCCGGUCGAUACUGCCGGACUAGAGUUCGGAAGAGGCGAGUGGAAUUCCCGGUGUAGCGGUGAAAUGCGCAGAUAUCGGGAGGAACACCGAUGGCGAAGGCAGCUCGCUGGGACGUUACUGACGCUGAGACGCGAAAGCGUGGGGAGCAAACAGG
rnacentral:rRNA from 1 species